rnacentral:rRNA from 1 species
UUGGUUAAGUUAGAAAGGGCGCACGGUGGAUGCCUUGGCACUAGGAGCCGAAGAAGGACGGGACUAACACCGAUAUGCUUUGGGGAGCUGUACGUAAGCGUUGAUCCAGAGAUUUCCGAAUGGGGGAACCCACUAUCUUUAGUCGGAUAGUAUCCUUACGUGAAUACAUAGCGUGAGGAAGGCAGACCCAGGGAACUGAAACAUCUAAGUACCUGGAGGAAGAGAAAGAAAAAUCGAUUUCCUGAGUAGCGGCGAGCGAAACGGAAAGAGCCCAAACCAAGAAGCUUGCUUCUUGGGGUUGUAGGACACUCUAUACGGAGUUACAAAAGAAAGUUAUAAAUGAAGCGGUCUGGAAAGGCCCGCCAAAGACGGUAACAGCCCGGUAGUUGAAAUAGCUUUCCCUCCAGAGUGGAUCCUGAGUACGGCGGAACACGUGAAAUUCCGUCGGAAUCCGGGAGGACCAUCUCCCAAGGCUAAAUACUCCCUAGUGACCGAUAGUGAACCAGUACCGUGAGGGAAAGGUGAAAAGCACCCCGGAAGGGGAGUGAAACAGUUCCUGAAACCGUGUGCCUACAAGUAGUUAGAGCCCGUUAAUGGGUGAUAGCGUGCCUUUUGUAGAAUGAACCGGCGAGUUACGAUUUGUUGCAAGGUUAAGCGGAAAAAGCGGAGCCGUAGCGAAAGCGAGUCUGAAUAGGGCGCAUAAGUAACAGGUCGUAGACCCGAAACCAGGUGAUCUACCCAUGUCCAGGAUGAAGGUAAGGUAAUACUUACUGGAGGUCCGAACCCACGCACGUUGAAAAGUGCGGGGAUGAGGUGUGGGUAGCGGAGAAAUUCCAAUCGAACUUGGAGAUAGCUGGUUCUCUCCGAAAUAGCUUUAGGGCUAGCCUCGAGGUAAAGAGUCAUGGAGGUAGAGCACUGUUUGGACUAGGGGCCCUUCUCGGGUUACCGAAUUCAGAUAAACUCCGAAUGCCAUGUACUUAUACUCGGGAGUCAGACUGCGAGUGAUAAGAUCCGUAGUCGAAAGGGAAACAGCCCAGACCACCAGUUAAGGUCCCCAAAUAUAUGUUAAGUGGAAAAGGAUGUGGGGUUGCUUAGACAACCAGGAUGUUGGCUUAGAAGCAGCCACCAUUGAAAGAGUGCGUAAUAGCUCACUGGUCGAGUGACCCCGCGCCGAAAAUGUACCGGGGCUAAACAUAUUACCGA